ensembl:lncRNA HLA-L major histocompatibility complex, class I, L (pseudogene)
AGAUUCUCCCCAAACGCCAAGGAUGGGGGUCAUGGCUCCCCGAACCCUCCUCCUGCUGCUCUUGGGGGCCCUGGCCCUGACCGAGACCUGGGCCGCGACUCCGUGAGUCCGAGGAUGGAGCGGCGGGCGCCGUGGGUGGAGCAGGAGGGGCUGGAGUAUUGGGACCAGGAGACACGGAACGCCAAGGGCCACGCGCAGAUUUACCGAGUGAACCUGCGGACCCUGCUCCGCUAUUACAACCAGAGCGAGGCCGGUAUGAACAGUUCGCCUACGAUGGCAAGGAUUACAUCGCCCUGAACGAGGACCUGCACUCCUGGACCGCCGCGAACACAGCGGCUCAGAUCUCCCAGCACAAGUGGGAAGCGGACAAAUACUCAGAGCAGGUCAGGGCCUACCUGAGGGCAAGUGCAUGGAGUGGCUCCGCAGACACCUGGAGAACGGGAAGGAGACGCUGCAGCACGCGGAUCCCCCAAAGGCACAUGUGACCCAGCACCCCAUCUCUGACCAUGAGGCCACCCUGAGGUGCUGGGCCCUGGGCCUCUACCCUGCGGAGAUCACACUGACCUGGCAGCAGGAUGGGGAGGACCAGACCCAGGACACGGAGCUUGUGGAGACCAGGCCUGCAGGGGACGGAACCUUCCAGAAGUGGGUGGCUGUAGUGGUGCCUUCCGGAGAGGAGCAGAGAUACAUGUGCCAUGUGCAGCAUGAGGGGCUGCCAGAGCCCCUCACCCUGAGAUGGGAGCCGUCUUCUCAGCCCACCAUCCCCAUCGUGGGCAUCGUUGCUGGCCUGUUUCUCCUUGGAGCUGUGGUCACUGGAGCUGUGGUUGCUGCUGCGAUGUGGAGGAAGAAAAGCUCAGGCAGCAAUUGUGCUCAGUACUCUGAUGCAUCUCAUGAUACUUGUAAAGAUGGAAGAUUGAGAAGUGGCUCACAGCUCAGCAGAAUGAAAAAAUAUCUGAAUGCUGCUUUCUGAAACUACUCUCCAGAAUGAUUUCACACUCACUCCUUGGAGCAAACAAUGACUUGCAAAUUUUUCUAAUUUAAACAUAAAGGAGUGUACAUAUUGGUA